GGAAGAGGCAGGAGUGGCCCAAAGUUCUCGCGCCGUGGUGUCUUUUUAAAGUUUGAAGAAUCGUGUGUGCUAUUGUGAAAAGGCGGUGUGUUAUCGUGUGUGGCUUUGUGCAAUUGAAGGUUUCUUGCCAAGCCGUUCGACCGUCCGCGACAUCACAACCGAACUCCCAGUGGCCAUUUCUGACCCCACUGUCAGGCUCAGAAGUUCUCCCGGGGCACGCCGGAAGAGGGACGCUUCCGUUUCCACGCUCCCUAGG